CCAAAGCAUCUUUUAUAAAGGAAACUGAAAAUGAAGGAUCAUACAUCAUCUAGAAUCUAAAAAUAUCAACAAAUAGAAUGCUACUAUUCACAAUCAAUAACUAAAAAUGUAUAAAUCAUGUAACAAAGCAUAAAAUGCAUAGAGAUAAGAAACAAAUAAGAAAAAAGCCAUAUAACAAAUUACAGUGGUUAGUAUGACUCAGCACAGCUCAGGAACAACUUCAGUAAAAUAAGCAAACCAGCAAAGCCAAUAAGCAAAUUAAGAAAUGUGGAAAACAGUCAGAGAUGCGUGACGUUUAUUGUAUACUGCUGGUGAAGAGCGUGUAAAGAACAUUUCACAAGUCUGCAUUCCCUUAUUGCAAACGAGACGGCGGACAGGUAUUCAACCAAAUUUCAUAUGAAUGUCAUCUCCAGCACAGAGACUGACGACAGUCUUUCAAAACUGUCAGUAUCAGGAAUAAACAAGAAGCUGAAUCAGAUAGCAUAUGGCUGCAAGGGCUGUGCUUUUCAUUGUGUGCUCUUGGCGCCGAGGUUAAGACGGAAUUUUUUUUUUUUAAAUGGGGGACCUUCAUUCAUCUGGUAACUUGAAAGCUGUUUCUUGGAAGCCCUGCUUCUGUUUUAUGCUCCCCGUAGCAUCGCACUGCGGUUCAAAAUGAACUCAGGAAGUGCUCGAGAUAAGUGGCGAAGUGUGAUUCUGGUAAGAAGCAGGCAGUUUGCUUAACCUGCUAAGUGCAGCAUCUGUAGCUCACGUCAACACUGGGGAUCAUUCCUGGUCACUGGCAUGGCUUUCUGGUGGCCAGGCCGAGGAAUCCCAGCCUUGGUCAGCGUGAGCAUCCUCCAGUGACACCAUUAGAAACUGACAAAUGAUGAUCGGCAGGUACAGAAGUGAAACCCGAAAGGGCACGCUUUGACUCACGAACCUGUGCAGAGGAUGGCAUCUAAUGUAUCAUGGGAUAUUGGGGCAAGCUGGCUGCUAAAAACUGCAUAUUUUUGCCAGUGUUUUUCAGAGCGGUUCGUGGUUACAUGCAGUGUGGUAUUUCAUCUUCUCGCCAGCCAGGUCACAUGAUGUGCAGCUGCUCCAGUUUAAAGAACACCGGCUUCCUGCGGCAACUUCUGGUAUGGAAGUUUUAACUGAAACUAAAUGCAAACUAUCGACAUUGAAAAACAAAAAAAUGUGCGUGAAAAGUCAUUCAAGGAACUAUAGGUCUUUGUGAAACUUUUUUGCACGACCGUGACAGACCACGACUGCAGUGAAACUUUGAUGUGAUUAAGGUGCACACGUUUGUAUACACUAAGAGCUCUACAUGUGAUUCGAUCUUCAAAACGCAGGGUAAACUCACUGGCUUUUACCCGGGUAUUGUUUUGUCUUUACAGUACUGCCUGCAUCACAUGUCAAGAAACAGUCCUUCUGUAUGGGCGAGAUUCAAAACAAGAAUGUAACUGAUCUGGCCAUUCUAUACUAGUAUUAAAUAAUGUUAGUGGGCUGGGGGGUUUGGCAGCUGGUUGACCUUGGACCCGCAGAACAUUUUUCCUUCUGCUCACUGUUCCUGUUCUCUGUUGCCUUCUGACUCUUUCCUUUUUUCUGUAUGAUGAACAAUUCCAUUUAAUAUCCAUGUACUAAUAUUAAUGUUAAUGUACUACCACACUCUCAUAACUUGAACUGAAUUAUUGAUUGAAGUCCAGGUCUUGAUUUCCCUCCAAAAACGCAGCGUGAGAGUCUAGCAGCAGGCUGUACAGCUCUGUUCCUGUGUUGAUACCCUGUUCACUGGCCCUUUACUAUGAAGACCAAGCAGAGAGCUCUUAUGUUGAAUCAUGGUUAUUUAGUUUAGGUCUCUACCAGACCUACAGAGGAACUGAAAAACCAGCCCACAGCUGCCUGUGUCAUAGGGAUGACGUCUAAGAGACCCCAAUAAAACCCCAUUUUUGUUCUCCGAAACGCCCAUCCAUGGGUCCAUUGCCCCACAGAAACCUCACGGCCUGAACCUGAAUCCCAGCUUCCAGGCCACCCUGCACCAUGUGGAUAGGAUACCCCAAGUGCCCAAGAUCCAGAGACCAGAUGGAUCAUCUAAGCCACAGCGUCCUCCAGAGCCACCCCGUGUUCAAGCAGGAAACUUCUACUCGCUCUAGGACAUCCACCUGAAGUGGAGGAGCAAUCUUGCAAUCUGGAGGGUUCCCAAGGAACUAGCCUUCCUCUGGUGUGCAGGGUAGGUGCUAGCAACCCCCAGGAGUUGGAGAAGGUCCGGGGGCUAGUCGAGCAUGAGGCUGCUCAACCCACCCCUUCUCCACUACAUGAAGCUCCUCUGCUCGCCUCUUCCAUGCAGUAGACACACCUUCAGAGUCCUGUGCCUCCGGGUUUCUUGGCCACACCCUGCUCACCUCCAGGUGCCCCAGCUUCACCCUCCUUGCCUACUGCCAUCCCAUCAGCUCCUGCCUUAUCUCCUGGUGUCCUGCUGGCAUCUGCCUCCUAUUCUGGUGUCCUGCCAGCAACGGCCUCAUCUACUGGCACUGGCCUCACCUCUUGGUGUCCUGCCAGUGCCCAUCUCAUAUCCUGGUGUCCUCCUGGCACCUAGUCUGUUGGUGUCCAACCAGUGCUGUCCUUGUCUCUUAUUGUCGCCUUAGCAGCCUCCUGACUCCUUGCCAGUGGUCUCCUCAUUCCCUGCAGGUCACUGCCUGGCUGACGCUCGACUUGCCAGUCACCACUAAGCCGACAUCCAAUGACUCGGUUGCUGCCAGGCCAGGUUUGGUGAACCUGGUGGAUGCCCCUCCAGAGAACUUAUUUCCUCCUGGAGCCCAUCUAUAAAUGCCCCGUGACGGACUGCAACCCUCUCCUGGGUGCUCCUCAAACUCAUACCCCGUGUUGUCUGAGACAGACCCUGACUAGGACCAGCAGAUGAAAGAUGGCUGUGUGCUUUCUGCAGGCUGGUAUUUCACAUGAUGAACUUUCUUCACCUGCGACACUCGUCCACAAAGCGGGCGGCGGUCACUUCUGUCUCCUGCCCCUCAGGGACAGUCUUCUCCAGCCGGGUCAACAGCUGGAUGACAGCGACUGCGUCCCUCACCUGCAGGACAGGUAUGGAGACCGUGACACAGCAGCCCAGGAUAAUAUUAACUGUUAGCAGAGGAAUAGCUACAGGACAGGCAAA